AUUGAACGCUGGCGGCAGGCCUAACACAUGCAAGUCGAACGAGUGGCGGACGGGUGAGUAAUGUCUGGGAAACUGCCUGAUGGAGGGGGAUAACUACUGGAAACGGUAGCUAAUACCGCAUACACCCAGAGGUCCCCAGAUGGGAUUAGCUUGUUGGUGGGGUAACGGCUCACAAAGGCGACGAUCCCUAGCUGGUCUGAGAGGUUGACCAGCAACACUGGAGCUGAGACACGGUCCGGAAUCCUACAGGAGGCAGCGGUGGGAAAUAUUGCACAAUGGGCGCAAGCCUGAUGAAGCCAUGCCGCGUGUGUGAAGAAGGCCUUCGGGUUGUAAGGUACUUUCAGCGGGGAGGCGUUACCCGCAGAAGAAGCACCGGCUAACUCCGUGCCAGCCGCCGCGGUAAUAC
rnacentral:rRNA from 1 species